rnacentral:rRNA from 1 species
UACGUAGGGGCCUAGCGUUGUCCGGAAUUAUUGGGCGUAAAGAGCUCGUAGGCGGUUCGGCAAGUCGGAUGUGAAAUCUCCACGCUUAACGUGGAGGGGCCAUUCUAAACUGCUGUGACUCGAGUCCGGUAGGGGAGUGUGGAAUUCCCGGUGUAGCGGUGAAAUGCGCAGAUAUCGGGAGGAACACCAGUAGCGAAAGCGACGAACUGGACCUCUUCUGACGCUGAGGCGCGAAAGCUAGGGGAGCAAGCGGG